GAUAUUUCGGAUGAACAUAAAGCAAGACUUCAACAGCCUCGCGGCCAGUUCCAAACAUGUUCCAUUGCCUAAUCUGCACCUCAGAUACACAACUAUGUGAUCAGCACAGACGGCUGUUGCGCUCACGCUGGCCGCGAGGCUGUUGAAGUCUUGCUUUAUGUUCAUCCGAAAUAU
rnacentral:miRNA from 1 species